GUGUCAGCCGCCGCGGUAAUACAGAGGGGGCAAGCGUUGUUCGGAAUUACUGGGCGUAAAGGGCGCGUAGGCGGCCUUCUAAGUCGAACGUGAAAUCCCCGGGCUCAACCCGGGAACUGCGUCCGAUACUGGAAGGCUUGAAUCCGGGAGAGGGAUGCGGAAUUCCAGGUGUAGCGGUGAAAUGCGUAGAUAUCUGGAGGAACACCGGUGGCGAAGGCGGCAUCCUGGACCGGCAUUGACGCUGAGGCGCGAAAGCCAGGGGAGCAAACGGGAUUAGAAACCCCCGUAGUCC
rnacentral:rRNA from 1 species